rnacentral:rRNA from 1 species
AUUGAACGCUGGCGGAAUGCUUUACACAUGCAAGUCGAACGGCAGCACGGGGCAACCUGGUGGCGAGUGGCGAACGGGUGAGUAAUACAUCGGAACGUGCCCAAUCGUGGGGGAUAACGUAGCGAAAGUUACGCUAAUACCGCAUACGAUCUACGGAUGAAAGCGGGGGAUCGCUAGACCUCGCGCGAAUGGAGCGGCCGAUGUCAGAUUAGGUAGUUGGUGGGGUAAAGGCUCACCAAGCCAACGAUCUGUAGCUGGUCUGAGAGGACGACCAGCCACACUGGGACUGAGACACGGCCCAGACUCCUACGGGAGGCAGCAGUGGGGAAUUUUGGACAAUGGGCGCAAGCCUGAUCCAGCCAUUCCGCGUGCAGGAUGAAGGCCUUCGGGUUGUAAACUGCUUUUGUACGGAACGAAACGGUUCUCUCUAAUACAGGGGGCUAAUGACGGUACCGUAAGGAUAAGCACCGGCUAACUACGUGCCAGCCGCCGCAGUAAGAC